AAAGAAGGAAUCUACUACCCCUAUAAAAAAAAAAGAGGGCGGAGAACCAAACAAUCUGCACCGUACAAAGGAUUAAAUCCUACGUUCCAUAUAGCCCUGAUGUUUUACCACCAACCAUGUUUAGCCCCACGUAAUUACCCAUGCUGCCAUCGAUACCACACAUACACGUUCAAAUGUCGUAACACAACCAGCCACGCAAUCAGGCCACUAACCCUCCCGACCUCUCGAAAAAAAACCUGCGCACAACUCCACGCCCGCACGACCUUUCGCUCGCUUCUCCUCCUCCUCCUAACCGACGCCCGCGCCGAUCCUCCGCCGCCCACCGUGCCGGCCGCCGGUCCUCCUCUGCUGCCCCAAGAACGCCGCCGGCUGCCGGUCUGCCACCGCUGCCCCAAGAACGACGCCGCCUAGACUGCAUGGCCCUGGCCAUGGGGGAUGCCGCCGUCGCCUGGCCUCAUGGCUGCAGGUCCCAUGGCUGUUAGAUCUAGGCCACACAUGAGAGUCACCUUGGCAGACUGGCGACCGCGUGGUGCCGAGGCGGGAAGGAGGCACAGGGAAGCACGUCACCGCAUCAUGGUGCACAAACGGCCUGCAAGGUGAGUGCCCAGGACGUACUAGCCAGUGCUGUCACCGGGGACAUGUACGCACGUGCAAACCACCGUUACCUCAGGUCCAUCCAUUGCUUGUGUGGUUUUGAGUAAGUAUGAAGUUCCGUCUCUUUCCAUAGAUACGAACACAUGCUUCGAUCUAUUUUCAGGAUAUUUUAUUUGGCGUUCGUGGUUAAUUCAGGGGGGACUCUGUUUAUCAGGUUAAUAUACAGAAACAUCAAAUGCAACAAAAUUUCUUCUCUAAUUCUGUAGGAUAUCAAGGCUUAAUAGAUCAUGUAUUGUUGUCGCAACUUUUGAAACCAUCGUAUCUUUUUGGUCUAUCUACCAACAUCAUGGAACUGGCCCCAUAGAUGUAUACCUAUAUUGUGCAGAAAUUUGUCUCAGUACUGAGAUAGUAAGAUGUAAAUCUAGCUAACUUAUCUAGCUUCCAAAUGUCGUUGCACUGUUUAGUACUUUUGGUUAACUUAACCUUUUUGGUUGCAAUGUGAUCUCUGUUAAUCACAUUAUGUACGCAUAAGAUUACUUCCGAUUUCGACCAAUCCUCUAAUGGCCACUGGUUAGUUCCAGUAUGUAUAAUGGCAAAUAUAGAAGUGUGCUUUACAAAACUUUGGCACCAUAUGAAUCAUGGUACAUGCACACAUGUUUGUCUUAGCAUUGCAGAGAUGGUGAAGCCCGGCAAAAUGGUCGUUCCUAGAUAUAUAGAAGUGUGCCUUACCAAACUUUAGGCACCAUAUGAAUCAUGGUACAUCCAAGUACAUGCUUGUCUUGGCACUGCAGAGAUGGUGAAGCUCAACAAAAUGGUUGUUCCAAGAUGUCUCGAUGAUAGCUGCAAGAAAUUGGCAAGCAACUUUAUGAGUUCAAAAAUCCCUUGAGCUACAUGGCUAUCAAAUAAAAAAAGAAGCAUGUAUUUACAAGGCACAAUGUAAUACAAUUGGGCAUUUUGAAGUGGCUUCGAUCUCCGCAAGUGCAUGUUGAUUGUUGUGCUUGGGUAAGGCAUUCGCACUCCGCUUGUUACUAUUCUCCUGGAGGAUCCACAUCAACUGCAGUUCUUCCAUUGGGCAAACAACCUCAUGUAUGCAAAGACAGG